rnacentral:rRNA from 1 species
CCUACGGGAGGCAGCAGUGGGGAAUAUUGCACAAUGGGGGAAACCCUGAUGCAGCGACGCCGCGUGAGGGAAGGAGCGUUUCGGUAUGUAAACUUCUAUCAGCAGGGAAGAAAAUGACGGUACCUGACCAAGAAGCCCCGGCUAACUACGUGCCAGCAGCCGCGGUAAUACGUAGGGGGCAAGCGUUAUCCGGAUUUACUGGGUGUAAAGGGAGCGUAGGCGGGUUAGCAAGGCAGAAGUGAAAGCCCGGGGCUCAACUCCGGGACUGCUUUUGAAACUGCUUGGCUAGAUUGCAGGAGAGGUAGGUGGAAUUCCUAGUGUAGCGGUGAAAUGCGUAGAUAUUAGGAGGAACACCGGUGGCGAAGGCGGCUUACUGGACUGUAAAUGACGUUGAGGCUCGAAGGCGUGGGGAGCAAACAGGAUUAGAUACCCUUGUAGUC